GGGAAGGGAAGGGAAAGAGGGAGGGAACGGGAGGCGGGAGCGGAGGACUCUGUGUGUGUGUGUGUGUGGGAGGGAGGAAAAAAACAGAAAGUGAAAACUGAACCGGAAAGAAAGCCGAGGGGUUUUUUUCCUCUUCCCGCGGUCACCGAGCCGCGGUGGCUGCGCCCGGGUUUUCUCCUUCCCGCGGUCGCCGAGCAGCGGUGGCCGCGCCCUGGGUGGCUGGGCCCGGGUUUUCCCUCACCCCGCCGUCCCCCAGCGCUGCUCCCUCAUGGCCGACUCCUGGCUCCGGCCCCAGGGUUUUCCCUCAGCCCCUCCGCGCCUCUUGGCAGCGCUUCCCGCUGGCCCUUCCCUCGUCCCCUCACACCAUGGCCAGAGACCCCUUUUCUCGCCUCAGUCCUUCCCCCUCAGUAUUUUCCCUCAGCCCCUUGCUUUGGACUUUCCCUCAGUCCUACAGCCCUUUCCCUCAUUCCCUCACACCAUGGCCAGAGCCCCUUUUCUCGCCUCAGUCCUUCCUCCUCAGUGUUUUCCCUCAGCCCCUUGGUGUGGACCCUCCCUCAGUCCCACAGCCCCUUCCCUCAUUUCCUCGGCCCAUUCAUUUUAUCCCUUCUUUCUUUCACCCCUCACACCAUGGCCAGAGACCCCUUUUCUCGCCUCAGUCCUUUCCCCUCAGUGUUUUCCCUCAGCCCCUUGCUUUGGACUUUCCCUCAGUCCCACAGCCCCUUCCCUCAGUCCCUCACCCCAUGGCCAGAGACCCCUUUUCUCGCCUCAGUCCUUCCCCCUCAUUGUUUUCCCUCAGCCCCUUGGUGUGGACCAUCCCUCAAUCCCACAACCCCUUCCCUCAUUCCCUCGGCCCAUUUACCUCAUCCCUUCUUUCUUUCACCCCUCACACCAUGCCCAGAGACCCCUUUUCUCGCCUCAGUCCUUUCCCCUCAGUGUUUUCCCUCAGCCCCUUGCUUUGGACCAUCCCUCAGUCCCACAAACCCUUCUCUCAUUCCCUCACCCCUCACACCAUGGCCAGAGACCCCUUUUCUCGCCUCAGUCCUUUCCCCUCAGUGUUUUCCCUCAGCCCCUUGGUUUGGACCCUCCCUCAGUCCCACAGCCCCUUCCGUCGUCCCCUCACACCAUGGCCAGAGACCUCUUUUGUCACCUCAGUCCUUUCCCCUCAGUGUUUUCCCUCAGCCCCUUGCUUUGGACCCUCCCUCAGUCCCACAAACCCUUCUCUCAAUCCCUCACCCCUCACACCAUGGCCAGGGCCCUUUUUCUCGCCUCAGUCCUUCCCCCUCAUUGUUUUCCCUCAGCCCCUUGCUUUGGACCCUCCCUCAGUCCCACAACCCCUUCCGUCGUCCCCUCACACCAUGGCCAGAGACCCCUUUUCUCACCUCAGUCCUUUCCCCUCAUUGUUUUCCCUCACCCCCUUGGUGUGGACCAUCCCUCAAUCCCACAACCCCUUCCCUCAUUCCCUCGGCCCAUUUACCUCAUCCCUUCUUUCUUUCACCCCUCACACCAUGCCCAGAGACCCCUUUUCUCGCCUCAGUCCUUUCCCCUCAGUGUUUUCCCUCAGCCCCUUGCUUUGGACCCUCCCUCAGUCCCACAAACCCUUCUCUCAAUCCCUCACCCCUCACACCAUGGCCAGAGACCUUUUUCUCACCUCAGUCCUUCCUCCUCAGUGUUUUCCCUCAGCCCCUUGGUGUGGACCCUCCCUCAGUCCCACAGCCCCUUCCCUCAUUUCCUCGGCCCAUUCAUUUUAUCCCUUCUUUCUUUCACCCCUCACACCAUGGCCAGAGACCCCUUUUCUCGCCUCAGUCCUUUCCCCUCAGUGUUUUCCCUCAGCCCCUUGCUUUGGACUCUCCCUCAGUCCCACAAACCCUUCCCUCAUUCCCUCACACCAUGGCCAGAGCCCCUUUUCUCGCCUCAGUCCUUCCCCCUCAUUGUUUUCCCUCAGCCCCUUGGUGUGGACCGUCCCUCAAUCCCACAACCCCUUCCCUCAUUCCCUCGGCCCAUUCAACUCAUCCCUUCUUUCUUUCACCCCUCACACCAUGGCCAGAGACCCCUUUUCUCACCUCAGUCCUUUCCCCUCAUUGUUUUCCCUCAGCCCCUUGCUUUGGACCCUCCCUCAGUCCCACAAACCCUUCUCUCAAUCCCUCACCCCUCACACCAUGGCCAGAGCCCUUUUUCUCGCCUCAGUCCUUUCCCCUCAGUGUUUUCCCUCAGCCCCUUGGUGUGGAACCUCCCUCAGUCCCACAGCCCCUUCCCUCAUUCCCUCGGCCCAUUCACCUCAUCCCUUCUUUCUUUCACCCCUCACAUCGUGCCCAGGGCCCCUUUUUCUUGCCUCAGUCCUUCCCCCUCAUUGUUUUCCCUCAGCCCCUUGCUUUGGACCCUCCCUCAGUCCCACAAACCCUUCUCUCAUUCCCUCACACCAUGGCCAGAGCCCUUUUUCUCGCCUCAGUCCUUUCCCCUCACUGUUUUCCCUCAGCCCCUUGGUGUGGACCAUCCCUCAGUCCCACAGCCCCUUCCCUCAUUCCCUCGGCCCAUUCACCUCAUCCCUUCUUUCUUUCACCCCUCACACCAUGGCCAGAGACCCCUUUUUCUCGCCUCAGUCCUCCCCUCUCAGCGUUUUCCCUCAAUCCCCUCUGUUUGGAUCUUCCCUUGGCCCCCCUCAGUCCCCUCCUUGAUCAGUUCAUGUCUUCAGCUCUUCCCGCUGCCCCUUCCCUUGUCCUCUCAGUCUUCUCCUGCCCUGAGUCUGACCCUCACCUCAGUGCCUUCUUGGUUUUGGACCUUCCCUCAUCCCCUCACCCUUCACACCAUGGCCAGAGCCCCUUUUUUCACCUCAGUCCUUCCCCUUCAAUGUUUUCCCUCAGCCCCUUGGUGUGGAUCUUGCCUUAGUUCUUCUGACUCUGAUCCCCUCAGCCCCUCCAUCUUCUGUUCUUGCCUUUGCCCCUUCCCUUGUCUUCUCCUGCCCUGAGCCCCAUAACUCCCCUCAGUGCCUUUCCAAGAGGCUUGUUUUGGACCUUCCCUCAGCCCCCUCCAACCCCUUCCCCUCAUCCCCUCUUUCCCUCACCCUUCAGCAUCAUUCCCUGAGCCCCUUCCCUCACCCCAGCCCUUUUCCCCUCAGUAUUUUCUCUCAGCCCCUCCAUACCUGUUUUCAGCUCUUCCCACUGCCCCUUCCUCCUCCUCUCAGUCUUCUCCCACUCUGAGCCCAUCCCUCACCUCAUUGCCUUCCCCAGAGCCUUGUUUUGGGCCUUCCCUCAAUCCCAAAACUCCUUUCCUCAUCCCCUCACACCAUGGCCAGAGCCCCUUCCCUCACCUCACUCCUUCCCCCUUGGUAUCUUCCCUUGGUUUGGACCUUCCCUCAGUCCCACAACCCCUUCCCUCAUCCCCUCUUUCCCUCACUCCCCAAAUCAUUCCCAGAGCCCCUUCCCUCACCUCAAUCCUUUCCCCUCAGUGUCUUCCCGUGGCCCCUUGGUUUGGAUCUUCCCCUCACCCCUCUUUCCCUCACUCCUCAAAUCAUUCCCAGAGCCCUUUCCCUGACCUCAGUCCUUCCCCCUCAGUGCCAUCCCCUCCCAGAUGCCCUCAGGAUCAGGGAUUUUCUUCCUCUGGCUUUUCUCUCAGGGCCUUUUUCCAUCUCCCUUUCUCCUUUCUGGUCUCUUCCCUCAUCUCCUCACCCCCUUUCUGUGGCUCUGGCCUCAGUGCCUCCCUUCAGUCCUCAGCCCCAUCCCUGUCCUCGAUGUCCCCCUUGUCCCUCAUGGCAGGGGGUACCCCUGCAGUCCCUGUGGGGUGGCUCCAGGCCACACAGACACUCACACACACACAGGGAAAUGGGUGUUUGAGCAGAAAAAGUAGAAAAAUAAUCCGGUUUUCCACCAGCACCUGGAAUCUGUCGGGAUCAGCCCAGCAGGGAGAGAGUUUGGCCUCGAGCAGUUGCAUGUAAACCAUUAUCCCAGGUUGCUCCGAGCCCAGUCCAA
ensembl:lncRNA